ACCAGCGUGAAACUCAAAAAACUUGACGGUGUCUCACACCUACCUAGAGGAGCCUGUUCUAUAAUCGAUAACCCACGCUAAACCUCUCCCACAAUUGUACCACCAGCCUAUAUACCUCCGUCGCCAGCCCGCCUGAUAACAGACACCAAGCGAGUAUAAUAGUCCAACCACUAGCACGACAGGUCAAGGUGUAGCUAAUAUGUGGGCUGCAAUGGGCUACAUUUUUUAUUCUUAAAACAAACCCGAGUGUUAUGAAAACCGCACAAAAAGGUGGAUUUAGCAGUAAGCAAGGAUUAGCAUGCCCGCCUGAAACCUGCCCUGAGAUGCGUACACACCGCCCGUCACCCUCCUCAACAACACACUAAGACUAUAACUAAUCAUACAUCUAACACUAGAUGAGGCAAGUCGUAACAUGGUAAGCGUACUGGAAGGUGCGCUUGGAUACUCCUGAGGAUAGCUUAAUCUAAAGCAUUGGGCUUACAACUCAA
rnacentral:rRNA from 1 species